UACGUAGGGAGCAAGCGUUGUCCGGAAUUACUGGGCGUAAAGGGCGCGUAGGCGGAUUGUUAAGUCAGAUGUGAAAUCUCCGGGCUCAACCCGGAGCGUGCAUUUGAAACUGGCUAUCUUGAGGGCAGGAGAGGAAAGUGGAAUUCCUAGUGUAGCGGUGAAAUGCGUAGAUAUUAGGAGGAACACCAGUGGCGAAGGCGACUUUCUGGACUGAACCUGACGCUGAGGCGCGAAAGCAUGGGUAGCGAACGGG
rnacentral:rRNA from 2 species